GGUCUGCUAGCUCAGUUGGUUAGAGCGUCGUACUAAUAGUCCACCAGUGGAAUAUCGGUAAUGCGAAGGUCAUGAGUUCGACCCUCAUGUGGACCA
rnacentral:tRNA from 1 species